GACGAACGCUGGCGGCGUGCUUAACACAUGCAAGUCGAACGUGAUUUUUGUGGCAAUUCUUUCGGGAAUGGAAAUGAAAUGAAAGUGGCGAACGGGUGAGUAACACGUGAGCAACCUACCUUACACAGGGGGAUAGCCGUUGGAAACGACGAUUAAUACCGCAUGAGACCACAGAAUCGCAUGAUAUAGGGGUCAAAGAUUUAUCGGUGUAAGAAGGGCUCGCGUCUGAUUAGCUAGUUGGAAGGGUAAGGGCCUACCAAGGCGACGAUCAGUAGCCGGUCUGAGAGGAUGAACGGCCACAUUGGAACUGAGACACGGUCCAAACUCCUACGGGAGGCAGCAGUGGGGAAUAUUGCACAAUGGGGGGAACCCUGAUGCAGCGACGCCGCGUGAGCGAAGAAGGUUUUCGAAUCGUAAAGCUCUGUCCUAUGAGAAGAUAAUGACGGUAUCAUAGGAGGAAGCCCCGGCUAAAUACGUG
rnacentral:rRNA from 1 species